UAGGCUUCGCUAGCCUGGCGCUGGGGGCGGGCACCAGCCCCCACCCCUCGGCGUCCCCUCCCCUUCACUUCCCCCUCCCCCUGUCCCCUCCCUUCCCUCCCUUCCCCCCCGUGGCGAGGCAGCAGCGGAGGCGGCGGCGGCAGCGGCGGUCGAGGCUGAGGCUGAGGAGGCGGCGGCGGCGGCGGGCGGGGCUCGGCUCGGGCUCCGCGGGCGGGCGGGCGGACAUGGCGGCCAACAUGUACCGGGUCGGAGAUUAUGUCUACUUUGAGAAUUCCUCCAGCAACCCAUACCUAAUAAGAAGGAUAGAAGAACUCAACAAGACUGCAAGUGGCAACGUGGAAGCAAAAGUAGUAUGCUUUUAUAGACGACGUGAUAUUUCCAACACACUUAUAAUGCUCGCAGAUAAGCAUGCUAAAGAAAUUGAGGAAGAAUCUGAAACAACAGUUGAGGCUGACUUGACUGAUAAGCAGAAACAUCAGUUGAAACAUAGGGAACUCUUUUUGUCACGCCAGUAUGAAUCUCUGCCCGCAACACAUAUCAGGGGAAAGUGCAGUGUUGCCCUUCUGAAUGAGACAGAAUCAGUAUUGUCAUAUCUUGAUAAAGAGGAUACCUUCUUCUACUCAUUGGUCUAUGACCCCUCAUUGAAAACGCUAUUAGCUGACAAAGGUGAAAUCAGAGUGGGACCUAGAUAUCAGGCAGACAUUCCAGAAAUGCUGUUAGAAGGUGAAUCAGAUGAGAGGGAACAGUCAAAGUUGGAAGUUAAAGUUUGGGAUCCAAAUAGCCCACUUACAGAUCGACAGAUUGACCAGUUUUUAGUUGUAGCACGUGCUGUUGGGACAUUCGCUAGAGCCCUGGAUUGCAGCAGUUCUGUGAGGCAGCCUAGUUUGCAUAUGAGCGCUGCUGCAGCUUCCCGAGACAUCACCUUGUUUCACGCUAUGGAUACAUUGUAUAGACACAGCUAUGAUUUGAGCAGUGCCAUUAGUGUCUUAGUACCACUCGGAGGACCUGUUUUAUGCAGAGAUGAAAUGGAGGAAUGGUCAGCCUCUGAAGCUAGCUUAUUUGAAGAGGCACUGGAAAAAUAUGGCAAAGACUUCAAUGACAUACGGCAAGAUUUUCUUCCUUGGAAAUCAUUGACUAGCAUCAUUGAAUAUUAUUACAUGUGGAAAACUACUGACAGAUAUGUGCAACAGAAACGUCUAAAAGCAGCAGAAGCUGAGAGUAAACUGAAACAAGUAUAUAUCCCAACUUACAGCAAACCAAAUCCCAACCAAAUAUCCACUAGUAAUGGGAAGCCUGGUGCUGUGAAUGGAGCUGUGGGGACCACGUUCCAGCCUCAGAAUCCUCUUUUAGGGAGAGCCUGUGAGAGCUGCUAUGCUACACAGUCUCACCAGUGGUAUUCCUGGGGCCCACCUAAUAUGCAGUGUAGAUUAUGUGCAAUUUGUUGGCUUUAUUGGAAAAAAUAUGGAGGCUUGAAAAUGCCCACUCAGUCAGAAGAAGAGAAGUUAUCUCCUAGCCCAACUACAGAGGACCCUCGUGUUAGAAGUCACGUAUCCCGCCAGGCCAUGCAGGGAAUGCCAGUUAGAAAUACUGGGAGUCCAAAGUCUGCAGUGAAGACCCGCCAAGCUUUCUUCCUUCAUACUACUUAUUUCACAAAAUUUGCUCGCCAGGUCUGCAAAAAUACCCUCCGGCUACGGCAGGCAGCAAGACGGCCGUUUGUUGCUAUUAAUUAUGCUGCCAUUAGGGCAGAAUAUGCAGACAGACAUGCUGAACUAUCCGGAAGUCCACUGAAAAGCAAAAGCACUAGGAAACCUUUGGCAUGUAUCAUUGGGUAUUUAGAGAUCCAUCCUGCAAAGAAACCUAAUGUAAUUCGAUCUACACCAAGCCUGCAAACCCCAACUACCAAGCGGAUGCUAACAACUCCAAAUCACACAUCUCUGAGCAUUCUGGGGAAAAGAAACUAUAGUCAUCACAAUGGUCUGGAUGGAAAUGCAGAGGAUCUGGGGAAGCUCUGAGCAGAGGAGAGUGAAGUGAUAACCUGAUAAGGGCAGGUGAAAAGCUCAUGAAGUGAAAGCACAGCUCUGCUCCAUCCUGCAGCCCUUCCUCGGCAUGCCCUGAGGCUGUGAAGAACUCACGUGCUGUGUGUCAGACUGAGCUUUCCCUGAUUCAUUCUACAAUCCAAGACUUGCUGCACUGUCCUGCUGAUGUUCACAGUCGUGCCUGGGAAGGAGGCAGCCCCACUCCCAGUACAUUUCAGUGGGAGACCUCUGCGUGCAUCCAUGGAGACGCAAUGGGGCGGGGAAGGAACUGUGGGAGUGCACGUUCCAAAUCCUGUGUCUCCACGUGUGGAUCAGCAGCACUUCGCUUUCUUGUCAGAGACCUCGCUGUUACAGAGCGAGACCUGCUGAGAAGUGAGGGGCUGAGGGAACCCCUCCACCUCCUCCCUUCUGCAGCACCCUGUGCCCCUCCCAGCAACAGUGGUCACUUGGCAGUGGGGGGCUGCUGCGAGCUCAGAGCCGCUGUCACCCUGCAUGUGUCCGCUCAGCUCGGUCUUAUGCUGUAUAGUUACUAAAUAUGUACAGGAGGGCCAUGGCAUCUUUCUGAGUGGAUUUUUCUUAAGAAAUGUGCCAGUGUUUAUGAGGUUCAUGGUAUUUCCCUGUCCUUGCUGUUACCGUCACUCAGCUUUUUCUCCAUAGGCUUCAUACUUUUUUUUUUUUUUGAAAUGGGAGAAUCUGCUGUUUGUCCCCGGCAUUCCUGUAUGUGACCCUCCCUCCUACUCCUCCAAGGAACAGAGUUGCCUGAGGUUCUGACAAAAGAUAAGCCUGUAAACUCAUCAUCUGUGUUUUGUAGUUGGAGAGAAGCUGGUGUUCUGCCCGGCUCUGCUUGGUCCCAGACAGCUCCAGCAAGAGCAGGUGUUAAAAGUGCCAAGCGUGUGUAUCACUGUGACAAGCCGUUUGCUUACUGCCCUGUUCCCUUGCAGCCACACCAGCUGAUGAAGAACUGCUGCCAGGUGGGUCCUUCAGCAGGCCACAAAUGACCUAGUUUCAUUUUAAGCAGACAGACUCUGUUUGGCCCAGGGGCGUGGAGUGAGAGAACUGUGUUUGUGGGUAUGAGUCUGUAUGGCCAACCCCAUGACCCCACCCCUCCAGCCCAACAUCCUGUGAGCACAUGUGACCUAGGCCCCAGGGACCUGUCUGCUUCUCUGGCUUGGGCUCUUGGCGUUUCCCACCUGCCCUCGGCAGCAGCCCUUGGUGGCAUCGCAGUUGGCCACUCAGCUGCUCUGUGCUGGCAACUGCAAGGAUAGGAAUAGCUCAGCGCCCGAUGAGCUCCCUGGGCAGAUGUGAGGCUGGCAACUCCCCUGCCCUCUGUUUGCAGGCAUAGGCCAUGGGGCGCAGGGUCACAGUCCCAUGAAAGACAACUGGAGUCUGACCUCCCAGCCAUCUCUGGGGUUACUGGGAGACAGUUGGAUAGCAGGUAUGAGAGGCCCAGAUAGCCAAGUCGUCGUUGCAAGACCGAGUGGCUACAAUUGAAUUGACCCCCUGGGAAGAACGAGGUAACACAGUAAGGGUAAUGAUGCUCUAGAUGUCUGUGUCCUCGGAGGCUGGGCUCCGCUUGGCAGAGAGAGCGUGGUGUGUGAGGUGGAGGGCGGUUUUGCAGACAUCUCAGCUUCUUUUCUGAGGAGGAGUUGGUUCUCAUCUCAGGCUUCUGCAAGGGCGAUCAUGGGGUGUUUCUACCACCACCCACUCUUGGAGCCGUACUGGGUCUUGGCUUGGGGCCCCGAGGGUGGGGCCUGUGUCAGAAGCAUUUGGUGAGAUGGGUGGAGGUGGCAAGCAGGUGUUCUCAGGGUUCCCACUGAUGGGUCCCUUCACCAGAGACCUGGGAGGAGGUCUUUGCUCUCCAAGUGCCGCAUCAUGUGGGAUGUUUCUUCCCGAAAGAAAAAGACACAGGAAAGUUGUCCGUCUGUGCCCUGCUCUGGAUUUAUCGUCGUACUUGGACCCAGAAGGGGAAAUGCUUCCCUCACCCUUUCACUUUCUUUCUGAACCCCUGUUAAGUGAUGACUGCAGAUUCUGGAAACAAUUAGCUACCCAUGACUCAGCUGCCAGCUUCAUUUUCUCUGCCUUUUGGGAGAGGCCCUCUCACCCAGGCCCAAGAGAUUUGGAGACAGGAGUCAGGCCAGGUCUGAAGCAGGAGAAGGGAGGCCCCUCCUGUCUAUCCAGUUGAAAUUUGGCUUUGGGAAAAGCACAGCUUGUUCGAGCUACAUGUGCCAAGCAGGCUUUUCCUUCCUCUUGUAAGUAAAGUUCAUGGUUCUGCAGUCCCAUCAUCCUAGGAGGGUUAUAUUGACUGAGACUUCAAGCUCUCCUGUUGUCUCUGGAAACUGCCCCCUGGUUCUGACAGACUCCCCCAGGCAAUGGAGGAAGGAUGCCGAGGCGCCUCUAGUCUGUGCCUUUGCUGUGGGAAGCAUUUGGUGCUGAGAGGGUUUCCCAACCACCCCCUCCCUUUCUGGGGCCACGGUGUCGCUGCUUUGUGUCAGUGGCAUGUCACUGUGGUUCAGUGAGCACAUGGGUGGACGUGCAGAGACUGUCUGCUCAGCCCCCAGCAGACAUGCCGCUGGGGUGAGGACACAGGCUCUGCAGGGCGUCUCCCCCUCUGGCUCAGUCAUCGCCUGCCCACCCUUCACUUCUUAAAGGUGCACAAGAGAGGAGGGCCGGCUGGAGGGUGUUGUUGGAAGGUUUCAGCCUGCCCUUCACAGUUCCCCUUGUGCACAGCCCAGUUUCCAUCGCUCAGGGCCCACCCAGGAAAAUGGAUUUCAAAAGGGGGUUUUCAUCCAGAGAUUUGUUUAACACAAAACAAGAAAAGCUGAGAGGCAAAACAGGGGAGUGAGGGGCAACCCAGAGGUGGGAACAGCAACAGCAAGCUGCCCCCAUCCUGAAACUGGCUGGGCGCCAUGGGAGGACGCGUCACCAGAGCCUGGGGCCAAGGCCACUGGGGGACCUGCCAUACCGCGGACCUGUCUGGUGGUAGCUGGAGUCUUGAGAAGCCAUGGUUCUUGUCAGAAACAUUUCCCCAGGCGGAGAGAGGGGACCCCGGCCUCUCCCCUCCUCUUGGCCUCCAGAGUCCUGCAAGUGCCUCACAAUAGUGAAACCCAGUUGGAAGCAGCUGCCCUGGGAGCCUGGGACAGGCAACCCACCAGGUCAGUCCCCUGCCACUCAGAGCAGAGCAGAACAGCAGGCUGAGGGCAAGCAGGUGGGGCUGUGCGUGGCCUCGGUGCACUCGGUGUCAUGUCUGAGCCUGGUGUUCGUGCCCCACUGCUGCCAAGUCCCUGGCGAGGGGAGGCGGAGGAGCUGCCCUGUGGGUGUUUGGAGAUUCUGUUUUACUCUGCCAUGGAGGAAACGGUUUUGGGGAGGGAGGGGGAAGCCUUUAUUCUUUACUGUUGUCCCUGUUUUCCUUUGGGGAAAUUUACCCAGUUAGCAGCCCCUCCUCACCAUUCCCCCCAGGAAGGCCAUGUCCCAGUUUUCUGUCCACUCCUCCUGUUCCUCUGCACCGUGUCUCUGAUUUUCCCUGCCAGGGAAGCUAACCCAGAGCACACACCCAUGCUCAUGAGUGUUUCCCCAGGAUAAUUCAUUCUGAGCAUGAUACCACAGUGUGGACUGUCUGUCUGUAAGAAGAUGCCAUCUACUAACUAAUUUGUAUUGUGUUUCCAAUAAAUUCCUGGAAAUUUUG